CACGUCACCUGCCAGCUUUGUGUGUGCCCAGUGAGGUGCAGGUGGCAUAAUGACCAGCGGUGACUUGAAUGACAAGGGGACAGAACAGCUGGACAAUCCAAUUCCUAGAUGCUUUCUCCAGUUAUGGCCCUGACUGGGAUCUCCGAAGAAUGACUCAGCUGAAACUGUCAGUGAGGAUGCUUACCUGUGGUCUCCCCAUCAUGGUGGUAUCAGGGUUGUUGAACACCUUACAUGGCUCCAAAAGCAAGUGUUCUGGAAU
rnacentral:lncRNA from 1 species